UACAGAGGGGGCAAGCGUUGUUCGGAAUUACUGGGCGUAAAGGGCGCGUAGGCGGCCUUCUAAGUCAGACGUGAAAUCCCUCGGCUCAACCGGGGAACUGCGUCUGAUACUGGGAGGCUUGAAUCCGGGAGAGGAAUGCGGAAUUCCAGGUGUAGCGGUGAAAUGCGUAGAUAUCUGGAGGAACACCGGUGGCGAAGGCGGCAUCCUGGACCGGCAUUGACGCUGAGGCGCGAAAGCCAGGGGAGCAAACGGG
rnacentral:rRNA from 1 species